AUGCCGGGCAUCAGUUAUGCGUGGCGGACUAGUCUCCAGGGAGUGGAGGUGAUCAAAGAAGGAACGGUUUGGAGGGUGGGUGACGGUGAGAAUAUCAGAAUUUUUCAAGACCCUUGGCUCCCAUCUGGGGCAGUAAAAUUCUCAAGAACACCUCAUGGGGCGUGGCCGUGGGGCACACUACUGAACAAACACCACGAGGAUUUCCUGGCAUGGCAAUUUGAUAACAAGGGCCUGUUUCCGUCCGAUCUGCCUACAGAGUUCAUGUUGAGAUCCUGCAACGACAGAGCACUCGGCAGAGAGGUGAGAGUUCGACGGGAUCUGAAGAGGAGCGAGGGAUGUGUCUUAAGCUCCGGAAGAGUGGAUCUUUACCUUGCGGGAGGAGGAAAUGCUCAAGACUAUUUGCCUCUUGUGGCUAUGGUGGACGGAAAGCAACAAGGCUAUUUUCAUGGUGACCAAACAUAUAGCCGAAUAAUGGGAUGGAGGGAGUACCAGGGAUAUUUCCCUGUUGUGAGAGGGGAUCCCAUGAGCACAGAUAUUCUAUGCUAUAGGCUGGCCAAGUUGCACCCCCCUGUGCGUCAAGGCACCUAUUUGACGCAAAGAGCAGGACCUCUCGUUUUAGGGAAGAGAUGCAAUAGGUCUGAACUCAGCACAAUCAGGAUGGCGGCCAAGCGCAAUUGUAGGCAGAGGGCAAUCCCUUCCAUGACCAUGAGAAGGAAGGUGCGUGUCAUCUUCCCGUCCAUCUUGGCCGAAGGCGCCAGAUCCAGACCACUACCAACACGAUGCCGGCAGCAACCUUCCCACAAGCAGCGGCCAUGGCGUUUCCGCCCCGUCGGUGGCGGCCGCCUCGCCGUCGGCCUCGGCCGUCCAGCUGGAGCCGCGGGUGGAGCAGCACUGCAGCGGGAGGGCGGGUACUGGGUGCUCAAGGAGAAGUACCACACCAGCCUCAGCUCACCAAGCUGCCCAUGGAGUAGAUCGACGCCGACAAGCUCACCAAGGAGGACGUCGAUAUGCGACUCAAGUGGCUCGGCCUCUUCCUCAGCCGCAAGCAGCAGUGUAUGCCCCUGCUCUGUCAAGGGUGACAAUCAGCCAGGAUCAAGCAAGCAGAGAGCAAAUUUUCCUAACAAUGCAAGAGCAUUGCAUUGGACCCCAGCCUCAGAUAUAGAUUGUCCGUCCUUCAUCUUCGUCCGGCCAGCGCUCUUGGAUCGCAGGAAUAAGUUUCUCACACAUCUUUACAAUCAAGUUCUCUUUAAUUCAGCAGCAGCAACAACAGAGGCGGGGGCGGGGAAUACCAGCAGCAACAGAGGCGAGGGCGGGCGCGACCUUCGGAGGAGGGCCAGCACGGAGAGGAAGACCCUGGGCUUGGAGGAGAGGUUGAGCAGGGCCAACGCGGCGAUGAAGACCCUGGGCCAGAGCAGCGACGAAGACCCAGCGCCGCGACGGCGUCCAAAAUUGUCCGCGGCGACGGCGGCCAAGGCGGACCAAAUCGAGGACCUAGUCGUCGAUUUACUGCUUCUUGGCACGAUUCAGAGGGAGGUGACGAAAAGGAAGAACUUUAGGAGCAAUCCCGCUGCUCAGGUAGGCGAGGGCACACCCAUGGCGGCUACGCAGCUGGGCGGCGGCGCAAGGCGCCUCCGUGAAGGUCCUGCGCGUCUCCUCCGCGACGACGCAGGUCGUCUCCUGCACAGGCGGCUGGGUCCUGCGACGCGCGGAGACUCUCUCUGGGUGCUGAGGAGAACGGGGGAGGAAGACGGGGGAUAG
rnacentral:rRNA from 1 species